GGAUUGCAAAAUAUUCGGCUAAAAUGACACUUUUUAAGGAUUUGUAAGAUCGCUGAAGCCGAAAAUGAGAAUUAUUAUUCACAGAAAUAAUGCGUAAAAAAUUUCGAUCAACUUGUUGAUGUGCGACAUUCUUAUGGAUUUUGACGAUACCUUUCUUAAAAUUUGAUGUUCUUAACCUGCUAUAUGGCUUACUCUUAUACAUUUGCAUCGUGAGUAUUGGAUUAGGUUUAAGUUAUCUUUUAUUUUCCGGCCGUCUUAGGGCCGUGAUCACGCAGAAAAAGAUAAGCAGUAAGUAAAAUUGACAUUUGGAGCAUUGGCAUUAACUGUUAUCAUUUGUUUCGCCGCUUAUCGCUUACCAUUCUGUAUGAUCACGAUUUUACGUGGAUUUAUACAGUUAAAAGUGUUAAGAAGACCUUUGUUGGUCAAAUACCGUAAGGCCGAAUUUUCAAAACCGUUCAUUUCCGUGAAAGAUAACCAUUAAAAUAAUUAUAAAAAAAUUAUUUUCGACUUUAGCGGCCUAAAAUAACCACGAAAAGAGACAUUCAGAUCAAAAAUCUUGCAGCCCGGAUACUAUACUUUAUCCAAGAUUUUUAUCGCAUGGAAAUAAUACAGUAGUAAUUAAAUGUUUCCGAUCAAAAUAUAAUUUUAUUAUAUCGUUACAAAAAAGUUUCUGAAAAUAAAAAAAGCUUUCAGCAGCCAUUGUAUUUAUGUAUUUUGUUUUUAAAGAAGAAACUUCGUAUAAAAUUGAUUGAAUACUUUAUUAAAAUCAAUUAUUUUUUAGUAUCAGAAUAAUUACACAAUACAUUAUUUACUAACAAAGAUAUAUAUGAUAAAGAUCGUCAUAUUUAAUCCUUCAAGCUAUUAAUAAUAAAUUCAUGUAAUUCGUAUAAACUGUAUUUCAGUUGCACAUAAUUAACAGAUAACAAUAUUUAUAAUAUGUAAUAUAAAUACAAUUAGGUGAUAUCAUUGUAUAAAAAGAAAUGCACUAUAAAGUUCUGCAAUAUUACAUAAUAUACAAUCUUGAUCUUUUCUAAGAUGAAGUUACGAACUUGAGUUUAAAAUUCUUAAAGAGUCAUGAAAUCAGUCAGAACUUAUUGUUUUUGAUUUUGAAUCAAAACGAAAAUCUUUCAAAUCUGAACCAAAUAUAACAAAGUAUAAAUAUAAAAAAGAUAAUAUAUUGGAAUUAGAAGAAAUCAUAAAUCUACUAAAUAGAUGAAUUCGAGUAGAUAAAAAAAGAGUACUUGAUCAAACCAAUUACUACUAGUCAAUUUAUUCACACUUGUUAUCCUGUGUCUAGUAUAUAUAUAUUGUUACAUUAUAUUAUUAUUUAGCAUGUAAACCACUUUUACGUUUUGAAUAGUAGCUUAAAAUAAGAAUAACCUUAAAUGGUAAAUUAAUAAUCAAAAUAAUUUUAUACUGUGUUUAUUUGUUCGUUUGUUUCAUAAUGAACAUCAUGCCUAUCAAGACAUACAAAUAGUUGCCAAACAAAUGUUACUUCUGCUAAAUGAUAUAAGAAAACUGUACAAUAAAAGGAAAUCAAUAUUUUUGUACUUAAGAAAUAGUUAGUAAAAAUUUAAAAAAUGUUAUCUCCAUUACGUUCUUUUUAAUCUGCGUCAUAAUUGAUUAAAAGGAACACUAAAUAUUUGAAAGAAAUGAAUAUAAUUAUAGUUACAAACAGUGUGAAAUAGAAAUUGUUAAUGGAAAAUGUUAAGAAAAACUGUUACUAUACAGAGAGUACUUAUAUUUUCAUAAUUACAGUUAUUACAGAUCUAUUCUAUGGAUGAGAAGAUAUAAAUAUCGGCAAAGUACGACUAUAGUUAUUCAGAGAACAUGAAUUUUAAGUAGAAAACCGCAUUUCCAGCAAAUGAAUUUAUUUCAUAGAUUACAUUACAAAAUAUUACACCUCAUUUUUUCACGCUGGAACACUAUUGCAAAAAACUAUCCUUAUCCAUAUAUCAAUUUCGAUUAAAAUAGAGGUGCAUCAGUACUUCGCGCGUCUUUCUUUUUUUCUACAAUGCAUAUAAACUUCUUUCCCCUAUACUGCGAAUAGGAAAGCUAUUAUUAUCUCUUGCCGGAAUUUCAUUUCGCUCUCUAAUUAUAUUUCUAUAAAUUCUUUGAGUUUACUCUGGACAAGUAAAAACACAUUGCGAAUACAAUGUGAGACAAUGAGAAAGAUAUGAUCGUAUUAUAUGAUCAUAAUAAAAAUUAUAAAUUCACGUCGCGUCUCACGUGAAUGAAUAUUCGAAUUAAGUGUCAAAAAUUCAAACACCAUUCGUCAUUCGCGCAUAAUAUUAAAAAAUAUUAAUUUAGGGAAAAUAAGAUCAUUUUAGCUGUUUCAAAGCAAAGU